rnacentral:rRNA from 1 species
UACGAAGGGGCUAGCGUUGCUCGGAAUCACUGGGCGUAAAGCGCACGUAGGCGGACUCUUAAGUCGGUGGUGAAAUCCUGGAGCUCAACUCCAGAACUGCCUUUGAUACUGAGAGUCUUGAGUCCGGGAGAGGUGAGUGGAACUGCGAAGUGUAGAGGUGAAAUUCGUAGAUAUCGAGAGGAACACCGGUGGCGAAGGCGGCUUCUGGACGAU